GUCUCUCCAAAUCAUGGAGGGACUAUGUGAAGGAGGUCAUUUAGUAUAUAACACCAGACUCCAAUCGGUCCAGACUUCGACCCAUGACCUAAACUUCGCUUGUCGAUCCUAGUUUCUAUGACAAGUUAACAUCUGGAUAGAUCGAUCUUAGACUUCGACGGCAAAUUGUAGGUAUACUUCUGCCCCUACCGAUUCUUAUCCCAGUGAACACAACUGACCUUAGCCAUCUUCUUCCUUCAAUGCCUAUAUUCAUCAGACCACUCCGAACUCUCCUCAAUUAAAGCUAGUCUGAUCCUACUUGUGUCUUCAUUUCAAAUUCAAAAGUGCUUGUGACACCACUGUUAGCUUCAAAAUAGAUAAGGCAAGCAUAAAUAUCCAGUCUUGAAGAUCUCGAAUGAAAAUCUUACUAUAUCACAUCC
rnacentral:lncRNA from 1 species